rnacentral:rRNA from 1 species
CCCCUAGAUGUUCUGGGCCGCACGCGCGCUACAAUGAGAGGUUCAACGAGAGAUCUGCUUUGAAAAGAGUGGAGGAACAGAAAAGCCUUUUGUGAUUGGGAUAGAAUAUUGGAAUUUUUAUUCUUGAACGAGGAAUGCCUAGUAAAUGCAAUUCAUAAAAUUGCGUUGAUUACGUCAAUGCCCUUUGUACACACCGCCCAUCGCUCCUACCGAUUGAAUUAUCCGGUGAAUUUUUUGAAUUUUCGAGAGGAAAGAAGAGAAAUAAACCUUGUGAUUUAGAGGAAGGAGAAGAUGCAACA